UGAAUCGGUGGAUUAUAACUUUGAGCGG
rnacentral:rRNA from 1 species